UACGAAGGGGGCUAGCGUUGCUCGGAAUCACUGGGCGUAAAGCGCACGUAGGCGGCUUCUUAAGUCAGGGGUGAAAUCCUGGAGCUCAACUCCAGAACUGCCUUUGAUACUGAGGAGCUUGAGUCCGGGAGAGGUGAGUGGAACUGCGAGUGUAGAGGUGAAAUUCGUAGAUAUUCGCAAGAACACCAGUGGCGAAGGCGGCUCACUGGCCCGGUACUGACGCUGAGGUGCGAAAGCGUGGGGAGCAA
rnacentral:rRNA from 1 species